rnacentral:rRNA from 1 species
GGAAUCUUUCACAAUGGGCGCAAGCCUGAUGGAGCAACGCCGCGUGCAGGAUGAAGGCCUUCGGGUCGUAAACUGCUUUUAUAAGCGAGAAAUAUGAUGGUAACUUAUGAAUAAGGAUCGGCUAACUACGUGCCAGCAGCCGCGGUCAUACGUAGGAUCCGAGCAUUAUCCGGAGUGACUGGGCGUAAAGAGUUGCGUAGGUGGUGUCUCAAGUAGCUAGUGAAAUCUGGUGGCUCAACCAUUCAGACUGUUAGCUAAACUGGGAUACUCGAGAGCGUCAGGGGUGACUGGAAUUUCUAGUGUAGGAGUGAAAUCCGUAGAUAUUAGAAGGAACACCAAUAGCGUAGGCAGGUCACUAGGGCGUUUCUGACACUAAGGCACGAAAGCGUAGGGAGCAAACG